rnacentral:piRNA from 1 species
UGUGACUUGUUUGUGUCAGAGAAGG